CUAGUACUCCCUCCGUUCCAAAUUACUUGUCGUAGAAAUGGAUGUAUCUAGAACUAAAAUACAUCUAGAUACAUCCAUUUCUGCGACGAGUAAUUCGGAACGAAGGGAGUACUAA
rnacentral:pre_miRNA from 1 species